rnacentral:rRNA from 1 species
GAUGAACGCUGGCGGCGUGCUUAACACAUGCAAGUCGAACGGAAAGGCCCCAGCUUGCUGGGGUACUCGAGUGGCGAACGGGUGAGUAACACGUGGGUGAUCUGCCCUGCACUUUGGGAUAAGCUUGGGAAACUGGGUCUAAUACCGAAUAUGACCACUUCUUGGAUGUUGUGGUGAAAGCUUUUGCGGUGUGGGAUGAGCCUGCGGCCUAUCAGCUUGUUGGUGGGGUAAUGGCCUACCAAGGCGGCGACGGGUAUCCGGCCUGAGAGGGUGUACAGACACAUUGGGACUGAGAUACGGCCCAGACUCCUACGGGAGGCAGCAGUGGGGAAUAUUGCACAAUGGGCGCAAGCCUGAUGCAGCGACGCCGCGUGGGGGAUGAAGGCCUUCGGGUUGUAAACUCCUUUCGCUAUCGACGAAGCCACUUGUGGUGACGGUAGGUAGAUAAGAAGCACCGGCUAACUACGUGCCAGCCGCCGCAGUAA